rnacentral:rRNA from 1 species
GGACGAACGCUGGCGGCGUGCUUAACACAUGCAAGUCGAACGAUGACGACCGAGCUUGCUCGGUCUGAUUAGUGGCGAACGGGUGAGUAACACGUGAGCAACCUGCCCUUCACUCUGGGAUAACCUCGGGAAAUCGGGGCUAAUACCGGAUAUGAGCUCCUGUCGCAUGGCGGGUGUUGGAAAGUUUUUCGGUGAAGGAUGGGCUCGCGGCCUAUCAGUUUGUUGGUGAGGUAGUGGCUCACCAAGGCGAUGACGGGUAGCCGGCCUGAGAGGGCGACCGGCCACACUGGGACUGAGACACGGCCCAGACUCCUACGGGAGGCAGCAGUGGGGAAUAUUGCACAAUGGGCGAAAGCCUGAUGCAGCGACGCCGCGUGAGGGAUGACGGCCUUCGGGUUGUAAACCUCUUUCAGCAGGGAAGAAGCGAAAGUGACGGUACCUGCAGAAGAAGCGCCGGCUAACUACGUG